CGGUAACAGGUCUUCGGAUGCUGACGAGUGGCGAACGGGUGAGUAAUACAUCGGAACGUGCCCGAUCGUGGGGGAUAACGGAGCGAAAGCUUUGCUAAUACCGCAUACGAUCUACGGAUGAAAGCAGGGGACCGCAAGGCCUUGCGCGGACGGAGCGGCCGAUGGCAGAUUAGGUAGUUGGUGGGAUAAAAGCUUACCAAGCCGACGAUCUGUAGCUGGUCUGAGAGACGACCAGCCACACUGGGACUGAGACACGGCCCAGACUCCUACGGGAGGCAGCAGUGGGGAAUUUUGGACAAUGGGCGAAAGCCUGAUCCAGCCAUGCCGCGUGCAGGAUGAAGGCCUUCGGGUUGUAAACUGCUUUUGUACGGAACGAAAAGCCUCGGGAUAAUACCCUGGGGUCAUGACGGUACCGUAAGAAUAAGCACCGGCUAACUACGUG
rnacentral:rRNA from 1 species